UACGGGGGGAGCAAGCGUUGUUCGGAUUUACUGGGCGUAAAGGGCGCGUAGGCGGCCAGCACAAGUCAGUUGUGAAAUCUCCGAGCUUAACUCGGAAAGGUCAACUGAUACUGUGCGGCUAGAGUGCAGAAGGGGCAACUGGAAUUCUUGGUGUAGCGGUGAAAUGCGUAGAUAUCAAGAGGAACACCUGCGGCGAGGCGGGUUGCUGGGCUGACACUGACUGAAGCGCGAAAGCCAGGGGAGCGAACGGG
rnacentral:rRNA from 1 species